CUUGAACGCCGGCGACCCCACGCCACGCAGAGGUGAGGAUACGCAGGACGUCCUCUAAUGCCACUUCCGUGGGUGCUAGGUUAGAAGCUGGGGGCGGUGCUGACCUUGAGAACGCGCGAGGGAGGCGCAGGCGCAGCACAGGCUGACCGUCCUUGGACACUUCCGGAUCUCCACAGACCUGUCUGUUCCUGUGUCGUCUCUUUCACCUGCUUUAGUGCGUCCUGCAGCUCUCCCCUUCCUCAGGGCAGUGGAAUAUGAUACUGAGACAUUUCUUCUCUAUUCAUAUGUACUGGUGGAAACCAGAAGAACAUCUACCAAGACCAGAGAAACCAGGAGGAGAAUUCUGCCUAUUGGAAAAUACAUUCCAAUAUGGACGGUUUCCUUUUAUUUAAAAAAAUAUGUAUCAGCUGAAAAAACGUGAAACCCAUGUACCCCUUAAAUUUGUGUUGUUUUCCUCAAAAUUUGUACCCUUCAACUCUGCCUUUUUAUUUGGCUAUAAGUCACAGUACUGGAGGCAGGGUUGAAGUGGAUAUACAGAACACCUUUAACCCAGAAAUUAGUCUCACAACUUGGGGAUCUUUGCUUAAGUCGUGACUGUAUCUACAAUUUCAUUUAUAGUAUCUCUUUUUGCCACUGUCUAGUUUUAUCAUAAAGCUGGAAUUGAAGAGCUAAACUAGGAAAGUUUCACAAGAGGUUAAGAAGUUUGGGCAGGUGGGCGUGUCUAUGGGUGUUUGUUUCACCCUCCUUGUCAAAGUACCUGGAGAGCAUGAUAUCCAAUCUAUAAAUGGUUAGAAGACCCUUGGAAUCACUUCUUAUCCAGAAGCAGCAUGCACAGGGCAAUUGCUUUAUAUUAGAAAGGCGGCUAGAGACUGAGUGUAUAAGUUGUUUUUACUUCAAAUUUUCUUCUGGGGGGUGAUGAAUAAUGUGGCAGACAAGAUAGAGGAAUUAUUAAGUACUAACAUUGGAAACAGCUGGAGGUGGGGAAGGGCUGGGAAAUAGUUCAUGAAACAGACCUGCUGAGAAUCAAUCCAGAACUUCCCUGAGGGUUCUACCUCUGCUGUAUAGGGACCACGUUGUAAAUAGACAAGCCCCAGGGCAUCUGCAGAUGCUAAGCGUGGUAGAGAAGUAUUGGAGUCGUUCUGCUUGUGUAUCUGUGGGAAGCAGCUGCUAUCCUUGAGGACGAAAAGGUGGAGAAGGAAACUGGCUAUCAGUCUGUCAGUGACAACAUAUUCUGUGAAGUCUUACUCUUUCAUUUCUGACACUUUGGUUCUUACAUCAGUCCUAAACCUGGCAGCCUCAUUGAGGUUCACAAAGCGUCUCCUCCUAUGUGACAAUAAGACUGGAAUUAUUAUCAGUAUGGAAUCCAUUCCUGCCAGAGUAAAGCCACAAAGGAAAUCACAGUCAGUAUUCGUUAUCUGCUUAUCAUUUUUAAUAGAUCAUGGGGUUCUGUGUUCCUUAUUUGGUAUUUGACAAGUUCAUAAAUAACCCUUGGUUAAUAUCCUUUAAUAUUCCAAUUUCUAUUACAAUGUGAAAAAUCUGUUACAAGUAACGUUUUUUAAAGAUUAAAAGGCAUACCAUAUGUUUAAAAGCAGCAUCUCCCAAUGUUUUUUAUCCCACAGAAUAAUUAUAAUGUUUUGUAUUGUUUACAUGUGUUGAAGUUGAGCGAUUUACCUAUUUCCAUUUCUUAAAGUAGAUGAGAGUCUUUGACAGAGAUGCAAGAAAGGGGAAAAUUACGAAAGGGAAUGAAAUAUGUGCAUGAUGGAGAUUAGGAAGAAAUUCAGUAGUCUUAAAAGGGAAUUAGGAGUCCAAUCGUCUUGGUUAGCAACCAAUUGAGUUGUAAUUCCCUGAGUGAGAACUGUUCUCAAAUACUUAAGAACACCAACAAAAAGUUAUGUCCUCCUUCAACACCCACACUGACCUGGAACAUUUUCAGCCAUUAACACCUAUCACUGUUUUAAAGGCCAGCUCCAUAUUCUUUGUAAAAUGUUUUCCUGAUUAACUCCCCUUCUGAGAAAUUUCUAUUACUUUUUCUUUUCUUUAAUAAAUAUGAAUAUUAUGUGCUUA